CCUACGGGUGGCAGCAGUGAGGAAUAUUGGUCAAUGGGCGCGAGCCUGAACCAGCCAAGUCGCGUGAGGGAAGACGGUCCUAUGGAUUGUAAACCUCUUUUGUCGGGGAGCAAAAGACGCCACGCGUGGCGUUCCGAGAGUACCCGAAGAAAAAGCAUCGGCUAACUCCGUGCCAGCAGCCGCGGUAAUACGGAGGAUUCAAGCGUUAUCCGGAUUUAUUGGGUUUAAAGGGUGCGUAGGCGGUCGGAUAAGUUAGAGGUGAAAUCCCGAGGCUCAACUUCGGAAUUGCCUCUGAUACUGUUCGGCUAGAGAGUAGUUGCGGUAGGCGGAAUGUAUGGUGUAGCGGUGAAAUGCUUAGAGAUCAUACAGAACACCGAUUGCGAAGGCAGCUUACCAAGCUACUUCUGACGUUGAGGCACGAAAGCGUGGGGAGCAAACAGGAUUAGAUACCCCAGUAGUC
rnacentral:rRNA from 1 species